UGGGGUAUCGCCAAGCGGUAAGGCAACGGGUUUUGAUCUCGUCAUGCGCAGGUUCAAAUCCUGCUACCCCAGCCA
rnacentral:tRNA from 3 species